rnacentral:ribozyme from 1 species
GGAAUAAAGGAAAAAGGAAAGAAAAAAAGAAACAGAGGAAACAAUUAGGGUACAGAAAGGUAUUUGUCGUUGUUGUUGUUUAAAUCCGCAAAUAAUACUCUUCUUGUUAAUGUUUUUC